rnacentral:rRNA from 1 species
CCUACGGGAGACAGCAGUAGGGAAUAUUGCUCAAUGGCGGAAACCCUGAAGCAGCAACGCCGCGUGGAGGAUGAAGGUUUUCGUAUUGUUAACUCCUUUUGUUAGAGAAGAUAAUGACGGUAUCUAACGAAUCAGCCCCGGCUAACUCCGUGCCAGCAGCCGCGGUAAUACGGAGGGUGUAAGCGUUACUCGGAAUCACUGGGCGUAAAGGGCGCGUAGGCGGGAUAGCAAGUCAGAUGUGAAAGCCUAUGGCUUAACCAUAGAACUGCAUUUGAAACUGUUAUUCUAGAGUAUGGGAGAGGUAGGUGGAAUGCUUGGUGUAGGGGUAAAAUCCGUAGAGAUCAAGAGGAAUACUCAUUGCGAAGGCGACCUACUAGAACAUAACUGACGCUGAUGCGCGAAAGCGUGGGGAGCAAACAGGAUUAGAUACCCCUGUAGUC